AUUAAACGCUGGCGGCAUGCCUUACACAUGCAAGUCGAACGGCAGCACGGGGGCAACCCUGGUGGCGAGUGGCGGACGGGUGAGUAAAGCAUCGGAACGUAUCCUGGAGUGGGGGGAUAACGUAGCGAAAGUUACGCUAAUACCGCAUAUUCUGUGAGCAGGAAAGCAGGGGAUCGCAAGACCUUGCGCUCUGGGAGCGGCCGAUGUCGGAUUAGCUAGUUGGUGGGUAAAGGCCUACCAAGGCGACGAUCCGUAGUGGGUCUGAGAGGAUGAUCCGCCACACUGGGACUGAGACACGGCCCAGACUCCUACGGGAGGCAGCAGUGGGGAAUUUUGGACAAUGGGCGGAAGCCUGAUCCAGCCAUGCCGCGUGAGUGAAGAAGGCCUUC
rnacentral:rRNA from 1 species